GCCAGACCUCACUCACGCUCGCUUGUCGAAGUUCGUGUCAGUGCAGACUUCGUGUUCGUGCCUUGCCGAUUAUGGAGCAGAGACGCAAAUAAUCCGCCGUGUGGGACCAUUUUGACGUCCUGGAGAAUAAGGUGAAAUGUCGAAUUUGCCAAGUCGAAUUGUCAUACACCAACAGAAGCACCUCCACCAUGCUGAGGCAUUAUCGGGCCAAGCAUGAGAAUGAAGUUCGCGAUACACCCAGUAUUACGCCAGGUUCCAGGAAGCAGCUGUACUGGAAGGACCAACACACUUCUUUCCCAAACCUCUCCCACCUCGCAAAGGAGUUCCUUUGUACGCCAGCCUCAUCCGUCCCUUGUGAGCGUGUGUUCUCCACAGCAGGAGAAAUCGCUUGUAAAAGACGCAACAGGCUGAAGUUUAAAACAUUGGAGCAUCUUAUUUUUCUCAAUAAAAAUUGUGAAAUAAAA